rnacentral:rRNA from 1 species
CAGGCUGCAACUCGCCUGCAUGAAGUCGGAAUUGCUAGUAAUCGUGGAUCAGCAUGCCACGGUGAAUACGUUCCCGGGCCUUGUACACACCGCCCGUCACACCAUGGGAGUCGGUAACACCCGAAGCCUGUAGUCUAACCGCAAGGAGGACGCAGUCGAAGGUGGGAUUGAUGACUGGGGUGAAGUCGUAACAAGGUAAC